CCUACGGGAGGCAGCAGUGGGGAAUUUUGGACAAUGGGCGAAAGCCUGAUCCAGCAAUGCCGCGUGUGUGAAGAAGGCCUUCGGGUUGUAAAGCACUUUUGUCCGGAAAGAAAUCCUUGACUCUAAUACAGUCGGGGGAGUGACGGUACCGGAAGAAUAAGCACCGGCUAACUACGUGCCAGCAGCCGCGGUAAUACGUAGGGUGCGAGCGUUAAUCGGAAUUACUGGGCGUAAAGCGUGCGCAGGCGGUUUGCUAAGACCGAUGUGAAAUCCCCGGGCUCAACCUGGGAACUGCAUUGGUGACUGGCAGGCUAGAGUAUGGCAGAGGGGGGGGGUAAGUUCCACGUGUAGCAGUGAAAUGCGUAGAGAUGUGGAGGAAUACCGAUGGCGAAGGCAGCCCCCUGGGCCAAUACUGACGCUCAUGCACGAAAGCGUGGGGAGCAAACAGGAUUAGAUACCCUGGUAGUCCACGCCCUAAACGAUGUCAACUAGUUGUUGGGGAUUCCAUUUCCUUAGUAACGUAGCUAACGCGUGAAGUUGACCGCCUGGGGGAUACGGUCGCAAGNUUAAAACCUUAAGGAAUUGACCGGNNGNGAGNGCGAGACGACGACGAGGAGAG
rnacentral:rRNA from 1 species